UUCAAUUGGGUGUUUUAUUACUUUAUGACUUGUGUUUGAUAUGAUUAGUGGCUCUUUGUUGAAUCGUUACACCUCCAUUAGGGACACGCCCUAGGUGGUAAUUUGGGGGUGUGACAGUUUGGUAUCAGAGCCACUGGUUAUAGAGAACUCGGUUUUAAAACGUUUUCAUAAAACCAGACUAUAACCGAAUUGAUUCAAACGAUGACCAUGACACUCAGCUUCAGACUGCAAGGUUCGUUCCUCGUUAGCUUAUGCUUUAUAUGCCUAGUAAACGUAACUAUAUUUAUAGCAUGCACGAUACGACAUGGUAGGCAUCAUGACACAUUGAUAGUGUAACAUAACACUUGCAUCUAGUAAAUUCUAAUCUUGUUGGUAGUGCUUAUUUUGUGUUGAUUGGGAUGGGAGAAACUUCAAACAUAAGUUAAGAAGCAUCGAGAGGAGCAUGCAAACCGCCUUAUUAUCAUGGGUGCACACAUAAUAAUAACGCGUGGUGCAUGCAAAUCCCAAUGAGGCUUAACGAAUGUAAAAGGGGAUCUUCCCUGUCUGUGUAUUAACCUGAUAGUAAAUCGAUAGAAGCUUCUCAUGUUCUUUUUGGUUGUAAACUUGAUCUCGUGGGUCAAGUGUUCGACAUUGACCUACUUCCCAAUACUCUUGUAAGUUUUGACAUAGUCAUUGACAUGGACUUGGUUAUCUAUGUACCAAGCAGAAAAUUCUCUGCAAAAAGAAAAUCGUGCGUUCCCUCUCCCCAGUGGGGAAUCCUUAUCAGUUUAAGAUCAUCGUGGUGGCGCCGUUGUUGGCAUUGUCACAGUCAUGAAAGCCAGGAGAGUCUACGGAAGGGCUACUCUACUAUACUAGCUCUUGUCACCGAUUCGCCACUUUAAGAAAGGAAGAUAGAGUAUCUUCCAGUUAUUCGUGAAUUUUCUGACGUGUCUUCUGAAAAGUUACUUGGUUUACUUCCACAUCGUUAGGUGGAAUUCCAGAAUUGACCUUAUGCCAAUCCUGAUUUCCUUCUGGGAUACAGCAAUCCCUUGGAUUCGCUGGAUACUAUCACAGAUUCAUCACGGGAUUUUCGAAGAUUGCGUAGCCUUAACCUCGUUAGCACUGUGAGGAGCGGUGAACUCUUGGGAACCAAACUAGGAGGACGUCUUCUCAGCUUUCUCAGCUUAGGGAAGUGGGGUAGGCGAAGCACGUGGGCCUCGAUAUCCUAUUCACCUGAGUUUUGAUACGAUGCAUUGAAACCUGAAGACCAUAUGUGGGUGACCGGGCCUGAAGGCCCACAUGGCAACGCAAGUGAACGAUGUUUGACUCGUGGGAAGGUCAAGGUGGAGUAUCAACAACCAGAAACACCUAUUCGUAGAUUAGAACAGACUGCCAUGGAGGUGCCAACUUCUGUUACAUUUGAUUUUGAACUAUACCUGAUUUAUGACAGGUAAUACACAACACCCUUGACUCACAUCUAGACAUGAGCAUUACUUAUCACUGUAGGACAACCGGAGAAAGUAACGAACCAUCCCGACACACGAAGACAUGCUGCGAGCAUGUGCGUGAUUGACUUUAGUAAACAUUUGGGAAGGACACUUACCUUUGGGUGAGCUCUACUGCAGCCGUUACCGUUUUAGUAUGCAUACAGCUCUGUUUGAGGCAUUGUGUGGAUGAUACUGCCAACCUCCUUGUUGGAUUGAGGUGGAUGACAACCUCAUCACGGGACUAGGACUGGCACUCGGUAUUGGAAAUUGUGUGGCGACAACGCGUGAUCGCCAGGAACCCUGAUAACUUAGGAAACACUGGGAGUUCGCUGCAGGCGAACAUGUCAUAUUGGAAGUCUCACCCUGGGAGGGUGCGAAACGCUAUUGGAAAGGUGGCAAGCCUAGUCUACGGUACGCUGGGACAUUCGUAUUCCUGGAACGGAUCAGUGAUAUGACUCACAAACACGAAUUACCUAAUGAAUUGGGUAACGGUCACAAUGCCACUUAUGCCUCAAAUCUAAAGAAGUGGUUGCCCGACGGAAAAACUAGUGAUACCCUUAUUAGAACCUAAGGCUGACGACAAGUUGCAGUUGUCGUGGGAUCUACUGAAAUCAUGGACCUGGACAUCAGGAUUCGUUAGUAUAGUCGAAUUUAAAUCAUGAGAGUUCGUUGGAACUCAAAACGUGGACCGGAGUUCACGUGGGAACGCGAUGAUCGGAGUAAGCUCUAGUAUCCUCAGUUGUUCAAGUGGUUGUAUCAACUCUUGAUAUCAUUGGCGAAUUUCGGGACGAAAUUCCUCUUCAAGUUGGGGAUGAUGUGGCACCUGGGGAAAAUCUGCCACAAUCUUGAUUUCUCACUUCACUCCUCUGUGCUUACUUGUCAAAUUUCGGGACGAAAUUUCUUUCAAGUUGGGGAUGAUGUAACACCCGACCUUCACAGGGUGAACACAAACCCUGUUAACUCCGUUAAAGUAUAUAUUCACUUAGGCGUUGUGUUUAAGUUUAGAUAAAUCAGGUGUCCCAAAAAUUUCACAUACAAUCGCUACAUAGUGUUCGUGAGCAAAUAGAUAUAACUUAUAUAAUAUUUCCCUACUAUGUGAAAUAAUUUUAAACUAUGUGAAAAGUUUCAUGUUAUGAGAAUUACGUGAAUUUACAUGCUACAUGAUUUUAUAUGCAAUAUGACUUGCAUGAUUCGUUUUGUGAACUUUCGUGAAACUACAUGUAUUUCUGUAUAACAAUAAGGUCAUUAACGAAUCGUAUAUCUUAAAUUUCGAGGACGAAAUUUCUAUAACAUGGGGAGAAUGUGACAACCCGAACUCUCGACCGUGAUCGUCGAGAGGAGUAAUCUAUUUUAUCAUUAUUAUUAUUAUUUGUUUAUCGGAUAAUAAAACACGCGACGGACGAUUUAUUUAAUUACGCAUCUAGUUAACAUAAUUGGGCCUAAUUUGUUUUCGCUAGAAAUCCACACACACGCACUUGGGCUAGGCCCAACCUACCUAAACCUAGUGUUUAAACAUCCCUAUACCUCUCACCCCUAUUUAAAAAAAAAAUAAACAUAAAAACCCUAACCUAAAAUAAUAGCCGCACACCACGCACUUCUCCAUGCCUCUUCUUCAUCUCCGACGGCCGGAAGUUCCGGUGCCCCUUUCACCAACCGUAGCACACCCUCAUACAUUUACAACCCUCCUUCAUUCUAUUUGAUCAAGCCCUCACAAGACCCCAUCUCCCCUUAUCUUGUUCCCACACGCACACCCCUGCACAGUAGAGAUAGAGAGAGAGAGAGAGCAAAGAUAGAACCGGCGACGACCGGAGACGCCGCUCAUGUCCGCAGUGACGGCGUUUUCUCCUUCUCCGAUGGUGAUAAAGCUGUGAAGACGCUGAUUCAGCAACAGAUUUUGAGCGGGUUCGAGCUCGGUUCGGACUUGGGUUCGAAUCACGGAUGUUUCGGGUUUGUUCCGGGUCUCGGUUCAGAAAAGGAAGUAGCAGGACGUGAUUGACCUACCUUGACUGUUAACCAUUUUUAAGAGACCAACCGAGCAAACCAAAGGUAAUUAUUGAAGGAACUUGGGAGCUUGCUGUCUGAUGCUGCUGGAGUGGUUGUGGUCAUAAUAAACAGUUAUUUUGAUUUGGUUUUGAUACAUUUACACACUUAUACAUUUAUGCUUCCGCUCAGUACUUUGGUUUUGGUUUAACUUUCAAACGAUACAUUUCUUUCAA